UACGAAGGGGGCGAGCGUUGUUCGGAUUUACUGGGCGUAAAGGGCUCGUAGGCGGCCAACUAAGUCAGACGUGAAAUCCCUCGGCUUAACCGGGGAACUGCGUCUGAUACUGGAUGGCUUGAAUCCGGGAGAGGGAUGCGGAAUUCCAGGUGUAGCGGUGAAAUGCGUAGAUAUCUGGAGGAACACCGGUGGCGAAGGCGGCAUCCUGGACCGGCAUUGACGCUGAUGAGCGAAAGCCAGGGGAGCAAACGGGG
rnacentral:rRNA from 1 species